UAUAAAAUUGGGUACAACCAAAGAAAUUUGGUGUCACAAAGCUAUAGGGGCUAAGGGUUAUCUAUGCCAGCCAGCUACCAUU
rnacentral:ncRNA from 1 species